rfam:Oryza glaberrima chromosome 6 Oglab06_0192_16, whole genome shotgun sequence.
AAUAAACGCAGGCAUAAAUUUUUUUUCAACUUUAUUAUCCGUUUUAUUUAAUUUUUUUAUAAUAAUAUUUUUUAUUGUUAUUAGAUUAUAAAAUAUAAAUAACAUUUUAUACGUGAUUAUAUUUUUUAGUGUUUUCAAAAGAAAAAUUUAAAUAAGACGAACGAUUAAAGUUGAAUAAAAAACUCAUGGCUGCGCUUAUU